UCCGAAGUUUUCAAAAUAUAAAAGAUAAUCGAUUAUCCUUAUAGCAUAAUCGAUUAUGCAAAUGACCGUUGCCAAAGUAUAUUGAAACUCUGAAAGAUAAUCGAUUAUACACAAUCUGAUAAUCGAUUAUGCUAAGUAAAAUCUGCAUAUGAUUUUUUGAACGUUUCCAGGUAAUCGAUUAUACACAAUCUGAUAAUCGAUUAUGCUAUGUAAAAUCUGAAUAUGAUUGUUUGAACGUUGUCAGGUAAUCGAUUAUACGAUUUGGAUAAUCGAUUAUUCUGCUUAAAAUCUGGGAAUGAUUUUUGAACGAUUGGA
rnacentral:lncRNA from 1 species